GACGAACGCUGGCGGCGUGCUUAACACAUGCAAGUCGAACGCUGAAGGCUCAGCUUGCUGGGCUGGAUGAGUGGCGAACGGGUGAGUAACACGUGAGCAACCUGCCCUCUUCUUUGGGAUAACGGUCGGAAACGGCUGCUAAUACCGGGUAUUCACUGUCCUUCGCAUGGGGGGUGGUGGAAAGGUUUUUUCUGGUGGGGGAUGGGCUCGCGGCCUAUCAGCUUGUUGGUGGGGUGAUGGCUUACCAAGGCUUUGACGGGUAACCGGCCUGAGAGGGUGACCGGUCACAUUGGGACUGAGAUACGGCCCAGACUCCUACGGGAGGCAGCAGUGGGGAAUAUUGCACAAUGGGCGAAAGCCUGAUGCAGCGACGCCGCGUGAGGGAUGAAGGCCUUCGGGUUGUAAACCUCUUUCGCUCAUGGUCAAGCCGCAACUUUGGGUUGUGGUGAGGGUAGUGGGUAAAGAAGCACCGGCUAACCACGUGCCAGCAGCCGCGGUAAUACGUAGGGUGCGAGCGUUGUCCGGAAUUAUUGGGCGUAAAGGGCUUGUAGGCGGUUUGUCGCGUCUGCCGUGAAAUCCUCUGGCUUAACUGGGGGCGUGCGGUGGGUACGGGCAGACUUGAGUGCGGUAGGGGAGACUGGAACUCCUGGUGUAGCGGUGGAAUGCGCAGAUAUCAGGAAGAACACCGGUGGCGAAGGCGGGUCUCUGGGCCGUUACUGACGCUGAGGAGCGAAAGCGUGGGGAGCGAACAGG
rnacentral:rRNA from 1 species